UUAGAGGAAGUAAAAGUCGUAACAAGGUUUCCGUAGGUGAACCUGCGGAAGGAUCAUUACUGAGUCUUGAAGAGGUUGCAGCUGGUCUUUUCAGGCAAGUGCUCGCCUCGUUCAAAUCCACUCUACACCUGUGCACUUACUGUGGACUUUGGUAUUCUUGGAGGGUCCUUUGGCCCUUUAUAAAUCCGGGUUCAUGUUUUAUUAUAUAUACGCUUCAGUAUUGAGAAUGUGUAUUGUGAUGUAACACAUCGUUAUACAACUUUCAGCAACGGAUCUCUUGGCUCUCGCAUCGAUGAAGAACGCAGCGAAAUGUGAUAAGUAAUGUGAAUUGCAGAAUUCAGUGAAUCAUCGAAUCUUUGAACGCACCUUGCGCUCCUUGGUAUUCCGAGGAGCACACCUGUUUGAGUGUCAUGAAAUUCUCAACCUUACAAACUUUUGUGUUUGAUUUGGCUUGGAGUUGGAGGCUUGCUAAUGGGAAAUUCCUUUGGCUCCUCUCAAAUGCAUUAGCUUGGUUCCUUGCGGAUUGGCUCCUGGUGUGAUAAAUGUUUACGCCGCAGCUGUUGAAGCAUUUUGGGCAAGCUCCUAACCGUCUCAAUAUUGAGAGACAGCUUUUUGAACAUGACAUCUGACCUCAA
rnacentral:rRNA from 1 species